rnacentral:rRNA from 1 species
GACGAACGCUGGCGGCGUGCCUAAUACAUGCAAGUAGAACGCUGAAGCUUGGUGCUUGCACCGAGCGGAUGAGUUGCGAACGGGUGAGUAACGCGUAGGUAACCUGCCUGGUAGCGGGGGAUAACUAUUGGAAACGAUAGCUAAUACCGCAUAAGAGUAGAUGUUGCAUGACAUUUGCUUAAAAGGUGCAAUUGCAUCACUACCAGAUGGACCUGCGUUGUAUUAGCUAGUUGGUGAGGUAACGGCUCACCAAGGCGACGAUACAUAGCCGACCUGAGAGGGUGAUCGGCCACACUGGGACUGAGACACGGCCCAGACUCCUACGGGAGGCAGCAGUAGGGAAUCUUCGGCAAUGGACGGAAGUCUGACCGAGCAACGCCGCGUGAGUGAAGAAGGUUUUCGGAUCGUAAAGCUCUGUUGUAAGAGAAGAACGAGUGUGAGAGUGGAAAGUUCACACUGUGACG